rnacentral:lncRNA from 1 species
UUAUAGUGAAAUUCCCAAAAGGUCUUGGGGAGUGGAUGUAGGUGCUGGGGUGCACCGAACCACUAUAUGUCCUUUGUGUUUGUAAUGCCUCUAGUUAUUAUCUAACUAACACACUUACUUACUUAGAUAAAUUGCUUGCUUAAUUCUUAUCCGCACAUCCUUUAGUUGCAAGCAUAUUUAAUCAAGUCGAAGUCUAUACAUCAAACCCUUGCUAAGUUUAACUUUCACUGUGCAUCUAUACAACUUAGCAUAGCUAAUCAAAAAGUUUUAGAAGUAGCAUAAAAGUUUUGAAAGACCCAAUUCACCCCCCCUCUUGGCUUGUAUCUACUGGGCAACA